GAUGAACGCUGGCGGCGUGCCUAAUACAUGCAAGUCGAACGCAGUGGGGACGGGUGAGUAACACGUGGGUAACCUCCCAUCAGAGGGGAUAACACUUGGAAACAGGUGCUAAACCGAUACUGAUGGAUGGACCCGGGGGGCAUUAGCUAGGUGGUGAGGUAACGGCUCACCAAGGCGACGAUGCAUAGCCGACCGGAGAGGGUGAUCGGCCACACUGGAACUGAGACACGGCCCAGACUCCUACGGGAGGCAGCAGUAGGGAAUCUUCGACAAUGGGCGAAAGUCUGACCGAGCCACGCCGCGUGUGUGAAGAAGGUUUUCGGAUCGUAAAGCUCUGUUGUUAGAGAAGCGGUAUCUAACCAGAAAGCCACGGCUAACUACGUGCCAGCAGCCGCGGUAAUAC
rnacentral:rRNA from 1 species